AUAUAGGGUGGAAAGUCUGAACUGGUUCACAAGAUGACCAAAACACUAAAAGAAAAAAACUUCCAGGGCUAUUAAAACUGUGAGCACAACAUCUGGCAUCAGUAUUGUGCAGGCAGCAGAUUGAGACAAGGAAAAGAGGAAAGGAUAUCCAGUGAGUCUCCACCUCUGAUAAGCAACUCUGGAGCUGGUGCCUAUCCUGGAUGGCAAAGAACAGGAAACAUCCAGAACUAUUCAAACCCCUAGAAGAUAUGAACAAAAUAUAAAUAGCAACAUUGGAUAUUUCCUUGGGUGAAGAUUAAUUCUUAUACAUCACAUUCCUUGUGCAAGUCAGAGUAUGUCUCUGCUACAGUG